AUGAGAGUUUCUAGUGGGCCAUUUUUGGUAAGCAGAACUGGCGAUGCGGGAUGAACCGAACGCCGCGCUAAGGUACCCAAGUGUCCGCUCAUCAGAGACCACAAAAGGCGUUGGUACCUCCAGACAGCAGGACGGUGGCCAUGGAAGUCGGAACCCGCUAAGGAGUGUGUAACAACUCACCUGCCGAAUGAACUAGCCCUGAAAAUGGAUGGCGCUAAAGCGUGCGACUUAUACUCAGCCAUCAGCGCGAGACGUAUGUGCUGAUGAGUAGGAGGGCGUGAUGCUCGUAUCGAAGCCUUGGGCGUGAGCCUGGGUGAAACGUGCAUUAGUGCAGAUCUUGGUGGUAGUAGCAACUAUUCAAAUGAGAACUUUGAAGACUGAAGCGGAGAAAGGUUCCAUGUGAACAGCAAUUGGACAUGGGUUAGUCGAUCCUAAGGCUCAGAGUAACUCCGUUAUAAGGC
rnacentral:rRNA from 1 species